UACGUAGGGGGCAAGCGUUGUCCGGAUUUAUUGGGCGUAAAGAGCGUGUAGGCGGCUAGGUAGGUCCGUUGUGAAAACUCGAGGCUCAACCUCGAGACGCCGGUGGAAACCGUAAAGCUAGAGUCCGGAAGAGGAGAGUGGAAUUCCUGGUGUAGCGGUGAAAUGCGCAGAUAUCAGGAAGAACACCCGUGGCGAAGGCGGCUCUCUGGGACGGUACUGACGCUGAGACGCGAAAGCGUGGGGAGCGAACAGG
rnacentral:rRNA from 1 species